AAACUUUCAACAACGGAUCUCUAGGCUCUUGCAUCGAUGAAGAACGCAGUGAAAUGCGAUAAGUAAUGUGAAUUGCAGAAUUCUCGUGAAUCAUUGAAUCUUUGAACGCACAUUGCGCCCUUUGGCAUUCCAUAGGGCAUGCCUGUCUGAGCGUCA
rnacentral:rRNA from 1 species